rnacentral:rRNA from 1 species
GCCUAGCCGUAAACAAUUAACUUACACCUACACCGCCAGGGGAUUACGAGCAAUGCUUAAAACCCAAAGGAUUUGACGGUGUCCCACCCCUACUAGAGGAGCCUGUUCUGUAAUCGAUAAUCCCCGCUUCACCUAACCAUCCCUCGCCUCCAGUCUGUAUACCUCCGUCGAAAGCUUACCAUGUGAACGCCCGCAGUAGGCUUAAUGAUCCACCAUCAGUACGUCAGGUCAAGGUGCAGCUUAAGAGAUGGCAAGCAAUGGGCUACAAUUUCUAAUUUAGAACAAACGAAAGACUAUGUGAAACCCUAGUCAUGAAGGUGGAUUUAGUAGUAAAAAGAAAGCAGAGUGUUCUUUUUAACCCGGCUCUGGGACGCGUACACACCGCC